AGAAGAGGGAAAUGAAGCUCCUGGGGGAUCUGCCUGGAGAGAAGCCCCUUGACGGUCAAGUGCACCAGAAUAUGGAACACACAGGUCUGCUGGGUGGUUGAAGUGAAUGUCACUAUGAUCUCAGCUGUGUUGGGGCUGAGGUGGGUGGUCCGGAAGGAAAUGGCGCACGCAGAGGCCAUCGGCUCGCGUCGAGGCUGGAGCCCCGGUCCUGGGAAGCUGACGCGGUUUAAUGACAAUCUCACUAGACGCCUUCAGAACAACAGGAAAGUCACUACGGUUACUGAAACUCAUCAUGAAGAAGUCUGAUCAUACAAGAAAAAUAGAUUUUAUUAAAUAAG